GACGAACGCUGGCGGCGUGCUUAACACAUGCAAGUCGAACGAAGUGGCGAACGGGUGAGUAACGCGUAAUCAACCUGCCCUUCAGAGGGGGACAACAGUUGGAAACGACUGCUAAUACCGCAUACUGAAGGUGGGGAUUGCGUCGGAUUAGCUAGUUGGAGGGGGAACGGCCAACCAAGGCGAUGAUCAGUAGCCGGUGUGGAAAGAUUAACGGCCACAUUUGGACUGGGGCACGGCCCAAACUCCUACGGGAGGCCGCAGUGGGGGAUCUUCCGAAAUGGACGGAAGUCUGACGGAGCAACGCCGCGUGAGUGAUGGCGGCCUUCGGGUUGUAAAGCUCUGUUAAUCGGGACGCGGUACCGGAAUAGAAAGCCACGGCUAACUACGUGCCAGCAGCCGCGGUAAUAC
rnacentral:rRNA from 1 species